UACAGAGGUCCCGAGCGUUGUUCGGAUUCAUUGGGCGUAAAGGGUGCGUAGGCGGCGGGGAAAGUCUGAUGUGAAAUCCUGGGGCUCAACCCUGGAACUGCAUUGGAUACUUCCUUGCUAGAGUACUGGAGAGGAAACUGGAAUUUACGGUGUAGCAGUGAAAUGCGUAGAUAUCGUGAGGAACACCAGAGGCGAAGGCGGCUACCUGGACAAUUGCUGACGCUCAGGCACGAAAGCGUGGGGAGCAAAAGGG
rnacentral:rRNA from 1 species